rnacentral:rRNA from 1 species
GACGAACGCUGGCGGCGUGCUUAACACAUGCAAGUCGAACGGAAAGGCCCUGCUUUUGUGGGGGGCUCGAGUGGCGAACGGGUGAGUAACACGUGAGUAACCUGCCCUUGACUUUGGGAUAACUUCAGGAAACUGGGGCUAAUACCGGAUAGGAGCUCCUGCAGCAUGGUGGGGGUUGGAAAGUUUCGGCGGUUGGGGAUGGACUCGCGGCUUAUCAGCCUGCUGGUGGGGUAGUGGCUGACCAAGGCUUUGACGGGUAGCCGGGCUGAGCGGGUGACCGGCCACAUUGGGGCUGGGAUACGGCCCAGACUCCUACGGGAGGCAGCGGUGGGGAGUGUUGCACAGUGGGCGGGGGCCUGAUGGAGCAACGCCGCGUGCGGGGUGACGGCCUUCGGGUUGUAAGCCGCUUUCGCCUGUGACGAGGCGUGAGUGACGGUAAUGGGUAAAGAAGCACCGGCUAACUACGUG